rnacentral:rRNA from 1 species
UACGGAGGGUGCAAGCGUUGUCCGGAUUUAUUGGGUUUAAAGGGUGUGUAGGCGGCUAAUUAAGUCAGCGGUGAAAUUCCACAGCUCAACUGUGUGAACUGCCAUUGAUACUGGUUGGCUUGAGUACAGAUGAGGUAGGCGGAAUUGACAGUGUAGCGGUGAAAUGCUUAGAUAUUGUCAAGAACACCUAUUGCGAAGGCAGCUUACUAAACUGUAACUGACGCUGAGGCACGAAAGCGUGGGGAUCAAACAGG